AUACAGCUGACCAGUCCCAAAUAAAACGAAACACGUGUCAAACUGAAU
rnacentral:hammerhead_ribozyme from 1 species